GCUGGGCAUGGUGUUGCAUGCCUGUAGUCCCAGGUACUUGGGGGGCUGAGGUGGGAGGAUCACUUGAGCUCAGGAGGUCAAGGCUGCAGUGGGCCGAGAUUAUGCCACUGCGCUCCAGCCUGGGUGACAAAGUGAGACUCUGUCUCAA
rfam:Pan troglodytes isolate Yerkes chimp pedigree #C0471 (Clint) chromosome 16, whole genome shotgun sequence.